UAAACAAAUAUGUUUUGUUUAGUCCCUAUCUACGAUCUAGCGAAACCACAGCCAAGGGAACGGGCUUGGAAUAAUUAGCGGGGAAAGAAGACCCUUUUGAGCUUGACUCUAAUCUGGCAGUGUAAGGAGACAUAAGAGGUGUAGAAUAAGUGGGAUAAGGAGAUAUUAGACUUCGGUUUGGUAUCGACAAUGAAAUACCACUACUCUUAUUGUUUCCUUACUUACUUGAUUAAAUGGAACGUGUAUCAUUUCCUAGCCAUUAUACGGAUAUAAUUAUUAUGUCUUAUGGUAUUGGGUUUUGAUGCAAGCUUCUUGAUCAAAGUAUCACGAGUUUGUUAUAUAAUCGCAAACAAAUUCUUUAAUGAGAGAAUGCAUUUAUGUAUUAUUGAUUUAAAAAUUAGGUAUAACUCCAAUUACUCAGGUAUGAUCCAAUUCAAGGACAUUGCCAGGUAGGGAAUUUGACUGGGGCAGUACAUCUCUCAAAUAAUAACGGAGGUGUCCCAAGGCCAGCUCAGUGCGGACAGAAACCACACAUAGAGCAAAAAGGCAAAUGCUGACUUGAUCUCGGUGUUCAGUACACACAGGGACAGCAAAAGCUCGGCCUAUCUAUCCUUUUGGUUUAAAGAGUUUUUAACAAGAGGUGUCAGAAAAGUUACCAUAGGGAUAACUGGCUUGUGGCGGCCAAGCGUUCAUAGCGACGUCGCUUUUUGAUCCUUCGAUGUCGGCUCUUCCCAUAAUUGUGAGACAAACUUCACCAAGCGUUGGAUUGUUCACCCAUGCAAGGGAACGUGAGCUGGGUUUAGACCGUCGUGAGACAGGUUAGUUUUACCCUACUAAUGACAAAACGUUGUUGCGACAGCAUUCCUUCCAAUGGCACAAUACUUGUUCGAGCGAACAGUGGUAUGACGCUACGUCCGUGCUGGACUGCAAUGAAAAAUAAGGGGCAAUUUGCAUUGUAUGGCUUCUAAGCCAUAAAAAGUUUUUAAUUUGUUUUAUUAACGACAAUGGAUGUGAUGCCAAUGUUAUUUAUAACAUAGUAAAUUGGGAGGAUCUUCGAUCACCUGAUGCCGCGCUAGUUAUGUUUUAAAACAUUAUUUAAUACAAAGUUAAUGCCUAGAAUCAAUAGUAAACAACUUUUGUAACAGGCAAGGUGUUGGAAGUAGUUGAGCAGCUGCCAUACUGCGAUCCACUGAAGCUUAUCCUUUGCUUGAUGAUUC
rnacentral:ncRNA from 1 species